rnacentral:rRNA from 1 species
UGCGCAGGCGGGAAAUUAAGUCAGUGGUGAAAUCCUGCAGCUUAACUGUAGAAUUGCCAUUGAAACUGAUUUUCUUGAGUACAGUUGAGGUGGGCGGAAUGUGUAAUGUAGCGGUGAAAUGCUUAGAUAUUACACAGAACACCGAUUGCGUAGGCAGCUCACUAAACUGUUACUGACGCUCAGGCACGAAAGCGUGGGGAGCGAACAGGAUUAGAUACCCUGGUAGUC